rnacentral:rRNA from 1 species
GACUUCUGGUUUAAUGCACCUGGCCCGCGGCCCACAAGGCCUGUGAGUGCCGGCGCGCGUUUACCAUCCUUCCAGCAACGGCUACCCUUAACUGGGCGGCUGGAACUGGAUCUUUUACUUUGAAAAAAUUAGAGUGUUUAAAGCAGGCGUUUGCUCUGAAUACAUUAGCAUGGAAUAAUAAUCUAGGACUUCGGUUCUAUUUUGUUGGUUUCGAGAACUGAAGUAAUGAUUGAUAGGGAUAGUUGGGGGUGCUAGUAUUAUUGGCCGGUCAGAGGUGAAAUUCUUGGAUUCGGUCAAGACUAACUUAUGCGAAAGCAUU